AUCGACGUACAUUCGCGGACACAGGUGCUCACCAUUUAACUAAAUCAGCAGCCGGGAGACCAAGUUCUCAGUAUCUCUGCCGCGGACCUGCUGUAAUGACUUUUCCCCUCUGGGCCCUGCUUACCCAGCCUAUAACACAGGAAGAUGGUAACUCGAGGAUUUCUAAAGUUUCUUCCAGUUGGGUGUUCUUUUGAAGAUUUGAUAAUACCAUUAAACUUUCCCAGAAAGUAUCACAUUUGGGACUCUGACAUAUAUCAUUUGACUGUUGAAAAUGUAUAUUUCAUAAUUAGGUGAAAGUUGAUAUUAUUUCUUCAGCUCAGCUUUAUUUUAAGAAUCCUAAACUCUUGAUUCGGUUUUCUAAAAAGUCAGUAAUAGUAACACGGUAAUAUUGGGAUGAGACAUACACAAUGAUGCGAUCUGCAGUACCUUACACAGAUUUAACAAAAUCAAUAAGGAAUGCAAAAUUUUGAGUUAAGAAAAAUGAGCAAAACAAGUGUUUUUUCCUCUUGGUAAAUGUUCAUAUAAAAGGAUCAAAAUCCUACAAUUUAUUUUCAGGUGUAGCAAUGAGAGAUAAUGGAAGAUUCAAAGAGUUGCAUAAAGGGCAGGGAAAACUCAACACAACUUACAGAGCAUGCCCAAAGUGGCUGAUGCAAUGAGGCAGAAUGUCCAAGGCCAGUCAAAACCCUAAUGGUCAAUAUAUACCACACCAGGCACCUAAUAGAUUGAUCCCCCUGCAAGACCCAAGGACCUUGAACUCAAACGUCCCAAACCUGGCUCAUCAACUUCUCUCCAAAGUCCUAUUUAUCCUGCUUCCUGUGGUGUGGAGCUCCAUCUGCUUCUCUCCAGUGAGUUAGUUUAAACGUUCUUACCCGGCCUACUGCUCUUGCCUCCUGAGUGAUCUCCCUCUCCCCUCUUUAAUACUGUUCGGCAAUCUUCCACCAAAGUUGGUUUGCUGAAACACCUAUGUGACCAUGCUAUUCCACUAGCCUGUGGGAUAAAGCAUCUGCUCCCAGACAGCUGAUGAGCCCUUCUUCAUCUAGUGCUGAUCUGCCUGUCCAGCCUCAUCUCAGUGCCAGCAACGCUCUGUCAUGUCGUUCUGGGAGCGUGCCAUGCCCAUCCAUGCCUUGGCCCCAUUGCACAUGCCCUGCUCGUUCCUCACCUGUUUGUCUUCUUUAUCCUCCACCAUCCAGCUCAGAGCCUCCCAGGCUAUGGGGUAACCUUCCCUCCUCCAUAUUCCACAGCUCCCUGUCCGUGCUUCCAGUAGAGCAUGUAUCACACUCCGGGCACAGCCCCUGAAGUUAGAUGUAUUUGGGUUCAAAUCCCAAUUCUUCUACUUACUGGCUGUGAAGUCUUGGGUAAGUAGUCUCUCUGAGCCCCAGUUUCCUUAUAUGUAAAAUGGGGAUUAUAAUCUCUGAUUAUAGGACUCACAUGAGCAUUGGAGAUGACAUACGCAAAGGACCUAGUACAUAAGCUGGUAUAUAAUAGACGGUGGAUGAAAGAAUGAAUGAAUGAAAGUGGGGACAGUGUCUUAAAUAUCCUAAAAAGUCAAUGCUGGGAAAUUAUACCAGCAUUUUUGGAUUAAUAAUUACAUCUUUGCUAAUCAGGAAAUUGUUUCUCCCUAACCCUCUCUCCCCAGUAUACAGAUGCAUAUAUGUGUAUCUAUGCAUACACAUGAAUUUUUAAGUCUGUAAACACAACAAGAUAACUGUAUAUAUAGAUUAUCUAGCUGUCUCACAUAAUAUUUACAUACAUGGUAAAUAGGUAAGUGCAAAAAGGCCUAGAAGGAUAUACACUGGGAUAUUAGCAGUGGUUAUCUCUGAAUUGGGAACAUGAAUGUUCUUAUUUUAUUUUUGUGUACAAUAUAUGAAAUGUUCAAAUUUGUCUAGAAGGGUUUUGUACUAGUUUUUUAAUACAAAGAAAAUAAAAGUGUUUAUGUUUUUUCCAAGGCCCCUACAAUAGCAACAGUGAGAUGCAACUAAAGAAACAAAAUGUUUUAAUUCAAUUGCCAGGGUCAAUAUUUUUUUAAACCAGCCUGUGGAGGGAGGGCCUCCGAGGCAGAGAGAAGGGAAAGCUUAGGUCCAAGCUCUCCAGUGAAUUCGUAGGAAAGCUGAUUCCAGAAACUCUAACUUGCAGGGCCCCGGGUAGCCCCACUUUCAAGUGAGGAAAUGUCCCAAUGUUACUAGGGCUGGGAGUUCUGGCUCAGUUCCUCCUGCGGAGGGGACAGCACUGAUCUUGGCUUAUAAGAGCUAUAUUCAAGUCCAGGCUUUGACUUUAAUUAUCUGACGCAUCUUGGGGAAGUCAUGUGAGGUCUCAGUUUCUUCAUCCAUUAAGUGGUGAUAACAAUGACUUCCCACAGGGUCCCUAAAGGAGUAAAGGACAGAUUGGAAAGUACUUUGUUAACUCUUCUUCCUUAGGCAAACAUUAGUUAUGAUUGCUUCAUCUUGCUGCUUCCCGAAAAGCAGGAGUUAGGAAUGAGCUUUGGCUCCCAAACCCGACUUCCUUGCAAUAGCAAUGCUCAGAUUAUGCAAGGCUGAAAGGUCAGCUUUCUCCAUGUCUGCUUUUCUCAGACCACAUGGAGGAGACUGUGAGCCCCCUUAACGCUAGCUCUGUCAAGGGCUGGCAGCGGACAGCCCUGUCUAGCCUCAGCGGCCCCCGGGUGGUAGCCAACAGGUCAACAUGGGAGGAAAGCCUGUGAAUCUUUCUGUUCUAUUUUGUUUGCAUCUCAAAACAGUUUCAAACAUAUGAAACAAAUAUCUCCUUGCACAUAAUGGGCUCGAACAUAUGCUUGCCUGCUUGCUUUAGCGGCUGCAAACUGACGAAUGUAAGUGGUGGCUUUCAUUCCCCAUCACACUCUCUGAAUGUUUUUGGCUUCUUGUACACCAGGCACAGGCUGUACAAUUCCCGACACCUGCUAUCUAUUCUCCAGCUAAUUAAAGUUUAGCUACGUUUGCUUGAAAUGUCAAAAGUAGUACAUAAAGCUGGGAUUUCAUAGGCUCCACUGUAGGAGCAGGCUAUCAGAAUGCAUGAAAAUGCCUGCAUAUAUCAAGGAUUGUGGAAUGAGUAGCACUUUCUAUCCCCUUCAUUUACUCUCCCCACUUCAAUCUACACUAGCCAAGACUGUUUUUGAGUAGAAGAGUUGAAAGGACUAUAUAGAUCCCUUUGACAACAUCCUUAUUUGACAGAGGAUGAAAAGGAUACCUCAAGAGGUGGUAUGUCAUGCCCAGUACCAUAUGGUGAAUUAGCUUCAACAGAAAAAGGGAAUUACAAAAGCUCACAGAGGAACCUGCUGGGUCCAUGCCCAUAUCAUGCCCAGGCAUCUGGCCAAAGCAAUUAAUGCUGUGAAAAAUGAUUCAAAAAUCCAUGGCUUUAUGUGGAAAUUUAAAAAAAGAUACUAAUACCAAAGCCCCUUCCCAAAAGAUUAUGUUUAAUUGUCUGGAGCGAGUUCUGUCAUUGGCGUUUUUUAAAGCGGUGCAGAUGAUCCUAAUGUGCAGCUGGGGUUGAUGGCUGCCAGCAUUGAAGGAUACACUUGGUUGAGAGUCUGGUGGAAUAUAGUAGGGAAAAUCCUGGACUUGGAGCCCAAAGACCCAAGUGUGAGUCUAGGCCUUUUCGAGAUGAUCAGUGUGGCUUUGGGCAAGUUGCUUAACUGCUUUUAUCCUCCCUUCUCCAUAAAUCCUUACCUCAUCCCAAAUCUGAAGAUCAGAUGAGACAGUGCCUAUCAAAGUGCUUUGCACACUCUGAAGUGCUGUGUCCAUGUGAGGCAAGACCCCUUGGAGACUUCUCGUGGAGCACUUUCCCAGUGGCUGCUUUGCUAUUCAACAACUGAAUUCAAUUCAGCCAAUAUUUAUUGAAUGCCUGAUAGGAAACCGACGUUAUGGUGGGUGCUGAGCAUACAAAGAUGAACAAGACAUAGACCCUGUACCUUAAGGCACGUUCAGUCUUGGAAGCAGGGGUAGACAUUUAAACAAGAAGAUAUUACAACGGCAAGAAGAGAUGUAGCUCCCAAGGACAGAGACAGCACAAAGGAGGAGAUGCUCACUCUGGGGAUGCUGGCCAGAGGAGGUGGUGUUUGAGCCAGCUUGAGCAGUCUGGUCCUUGAGGUGGAAAAUAAGAGGGAAAGCCUUUCGGGGUUACAGGAUGAGUGAACGCAAAGACAGAGAAGUGUUAACCAGCCCUGUAGUUAGCAAUGGCUGGGGCCCUGGGUGGCAGGGAGGGACUGAAAUAGUGACAGAUCAAUCAAAUUGUCAUUCCACGUAGAUGAGACUAAAUCUCAUCUAUUUUAGGAGAAAGAAAAAUGAAGUUAUAUGGCAGGUUUGAAAUUACAAUGGAUUUAAAAAGAACAGAAUGAUUGAGUUAACCUUAAAGACCCGAUUACCUCUCUGAACCACAGGUAAUCUGAGUCCAAAGACUGAACACAGUCUGAAACCCCUCAUUGGUCCCAGAACCAGAAAAGUUGCUAGGCGACUUUGCAAAGAGAAACAGAUAGAAAUGCUUUUCCAAUUGCGAGGAAAAUUAGUGGGAAAAGAGGUGUUUGGGGAUUUAACGCGUCUGCAGAAUGUUCUUUAUUUUUUGGACUUUUAACAGCAUUAACACUUGUAAGUAGUAAAAAUAAUUAUGGUGGUUGGGUUUUGAGACUUGCAGAGGAAAACUUAUAAGGAAUGUCUGGUAAGAAGGAUGCAGUAACUCCAAGUAUAGGCUGAGGAAUAGGAAAUUUGAAGAACUUAAAAAAAUUAGAAUUUAAAGUCAGAGUUUCAGAACUCAGAAGGCUCUUUUUUUUUUAAAUUUGUGGUAUCCCUUUAAGAGCCAUUUGGUGCAAUUCAUAGCCUGAUUCAUGCCACCAGCUGCCUCUGAUUUCAGCGAGAAAUGCAGAAAUUUAUAAGGAACUGUAAAAUGGGGACAGGAUUAUAGUUUUCUAAAUUGAGGUUUUGACUGGCAAACUUCUGAAGGUUUAAAAAACCACAGAGCUGAGCUGUCGGAAGCUGGUUUCUUUUCCGGUCUGAAGAAGUAAACACACAAACACAUAUCUGACUCACAAAGUAUUGGAAGAGAUAAACCAAUGCUCUUUGCAGAGGAAGAAAGCAAAACAGCCUUGUGGGCAACAGGAGGAAAGUGACAUUUGUCAGCCGGCAGCACCCUAUGCUGGCAGAGGGAGAAAUCUGAGCUUCCGCAGCGUGGGGCAGUAUUUGCCCAAAGUCUCCCACUUCGAGUUGCAUGUCUCUGGUGUCCCGGGGAAGGCGCCCAGCCCACUUCUCCCUUCUCAGAGCCCCAAGGAUUGGUGAGAAACCCCCUGUACCACCCACAGGACGCACAGAUGAAGACACUGAGGUUCAGAGAGACUAAGUGUGCCAGUAAGAGGACAAUCAAGACAAUCGAUCUCUAGAGCCCAUGCCUCCUGACCUCAAAUCCAGGACUCUUUCCCCCUCCUCUGCAGACUCCUGAUCCUGCCUGUGGACUGUGAACAUCCAUGAGCCAUGCUAUCACGUGACUGUAAGAUUUCGGGGAAGGGAAAUGACAUCUGUUCGAAACAUAAACUACUAGGCUCUGUAACGGACUGAGUUAUAUCCCUCCAGAAUUCAUACGUUGGAGCCCUAACCCCCAGUAUCUCAGAAUGUGAUUAUUUGGUGGUAAGGUCUUUGAAGAGGUGAUUAAUGAAAACGGGCUGUUAGCGGGGCCCUAGUUCAAUAUAACUGGUGUCUUUAUAGUAAGAGGAGGUUGGGACACAGACAACACAGAGGAAAAGACCAUGUGAGGACACAGCAAGAAAGCAGCCAUCUGCAAGCCAAGCAGAGAUGCCUUAAAAGAAUACGAUGACCUUGAAUUUUGAAACACCUGCCAAUAUCCUGAUCUUGAACUUCCAGUCUCCAAAACUGUAAGAAAAUAAAUUUCUGCUGUUUAAGCUA